UUUUGGUAGGGGACCCAGUG
rnacentral:piRNA from 1 species